rnacentral:misc_RNA from 1 species
ACGAGACCAUCGUGCGACUGAUCGCGAAGAUGCCGACGAUUGCCGCUUACUCGUACAAGCACUCGAUCGGCCAGCCCUUCAUCUAUCCGCGUAACCAGCUGAGCUAUGUCGCCAACUUCCUGCACAUGAUGUUCGCGACCCCGUGCGACGAGUUCGAAGUGGAUCCGGCGGUGUCCCGUGCGCUCGACCUGCUGCUGAUUCUGCACGCCGACCACGAGCAGAACUGCUCGACGAGCACCGUCCGGGUCGUCGGCAGCUCGCGCGCCAACCUCUUCGCGGGCAUCUCGGCCGGCAUCGGCGCGUUGUGGGGACCGCUCCACGGCGGCGCCAACCAGCAGGUGAUCGAAAUGCUCGAGCGGAUCGAGGCCGAGGGCGGCGACGUCCAGAAGUUCGUCGACGCCGCCAAGGACAAGAAGAGCAACAGCCGUCUCAUGGGCUUCGGUCAUCGCGUCUACAAGAACUACGAUCCGCGGGCGGCGAUUCUCAGGCGGACGUGCAUCGAUGUGCUCAGCCGGCUCGGCGUCCAGAGCCGUCAGCUCGACAUCGCGAUGAAGCUCGAAGAGAUUGCGCUCCGCGACGAGUACUUCGUCAGCCACAAGCUCUAUCCGAACGUGGACUUCUACUCGGGCAUCAUCUACAAGGCUCUUUGUAUUCCCGUGAACAUGUUCACGGUCAUGUUCGCGAUCGGCCGGCUGCCCGGCUGGAUCGCCCAGUGGCUCGAGAGCCGCAACGAUCCAGACACCCGGAUUGCUCGUCCGCGCCAGAUCUAUACCGGCGCGAGGCAGCGUCACUACGCUCCGCUCGACCAGAGGUAGCCGUGGGGACACGGUUCGAGGUGCGUCGCGACUCGCGUACCGGCGAGCGAUAUCAGGCGGUGUCCGCGCGCGGCGCCGCGCUGCAGGACGACCCGGUCCUCAACAAGGGAACCUGUUUCACCCGGGAGGAACGCGACGCGCUGGGUCUGACGGGGUUGCUUCCGCCAGCCGUGCAGGCGCCCGCGGAACAACUGGCCCGGGCGUACGGCAACUACCUCGAGUCAGGAGACGACGUCCAGCGCUACCUGUUCCUGGCCGGCCUGCAGGACCGCAACGAGACGCUCUUCUGCCGCCUCGUGCUCGAUCAUCUCCGAGGAGAUGGUCCCUGUCAUCUACACGCCGACGGUGGGCAAGGCGUGCGAGCGUUACAGCCACAUCUACCGGCAAGGGCGAGGCGUCUAUGUGUCGCCACACGAGCGCGGGCGAGUCGCUGAGGUGUUGCAGGGAGCCGCCGACGCCGAGGCGCGCGUGAUUGUCAUCACCGACAACCAGGCGAUCCUCGGCCUGGGCGACCAGGGCGUCGGCGGGAUGCCCAUCGCGAUUGGCAAACUAGCGCUCUACACAGUGGGGGCCGGUAUUCACCCGACCUACUGUCUGCCGAUCGAUUUCGACGUGGGCACCGACAACACCGUGCGGCUCGAGGAUCCGCUCUACCUCGGUAUUCGCCAGCAGCGGCUCCGGGGCGAGCCCUACUUCGCGCUGCUCGACGAGCUCGUCGAGGCCAUCGCGCGCGUAUUUCCGCGAGCCCUGGUGCAGUGGGAGGAUUUCGCGAGCACGAACGCCUUUGCAGUGCUCGCGCCGGGUACCGGCAACGAGUGCUGUCGUUCAACGACGACAUCCAGGGCACAGGGGCCGUGGUCGUGGCGGGCAUCCAGAGCGCACUCCGGCAGACCGGCGGCCGGCUCGAGGAUGCGCGCAUUGUUUUUAUGGCGCCGGCGCAUCGGGCGCAGGAUCGGCGCUCGCCGUUCGGGCCGCGCUGCGCGUGGCCGGAGUCCCCGAAACCGAGCUGUCAUCGCGCGUCCUCUGCCUGGACUCGAUGGGGUUGAUGAUCUCGGACCGGCCGGGACUGACCGGCGCCAAGCUCGAGGUGGCCGCGUCGCCCGAUCUCGUUGCGGGCUGGCGGCGGAGCGCGGGGCGGCCCGUUCGGCCUCGGCGACGUCGUCCGAAACUUCAAGCCAACCGUGCUCGUUGGCGCGUCAGGCCAGUCCGGCGCCUUCAGCGCGGCGAUCGUCCGCGACAUGCUUGCGGGAUGUGCGCGUCCGGUCGUACUCGCGCUCUCGAACCCGGAUACGAAAACAGAAGUGACGCCGGAAGAUCUCAUUCGAUGGACGAACGGCGCCGCGGUGAUGGGCACGGGCAGUCCGUUUGCGCCCGUGGAGCACGAAGGGCGCACGCACACGAUUGGUCAGGCGAAUAACGCGUUCAUCUUUCCGGGACUCGGCCUGGGCGCCAUCGCAGUCGAGGCGCGCUGGCUGCCGGAUGACGCGUUCGUCACGGCGGCACGCGCGCUGGUCGGGUUCACGGCGGCUUCGCCGCGCGAGGGCAGCUCCAUCUACCCGCCGCUCAGCCGGCUGCG